UACAGAGGGUGCGAGCGUUAAUCGGAAUUACUGGGCGUAAAGCGCACGUAGUCGGCUUUGCAAGUCGGUUGUGAAAUCCCCGGGCUCAACCUGGGAACUGCAUCCGAGACUGCAUUGCUAGAGUAUGGGAGUGGAAAGCGGAAUUUCUGGUGUAGCAGUGAAAUGCGUAGAUAUCAGAAGGAACAUCAGUGGCGAAGGCGGCUUUCUGGACCAAUACUGACGAUCAGGUGCGAAAGCGUGGGGAGCAAACGGG
rnacentral:rRNA from 1 species